GAUUCGUCACACUAUCAUUAACUGAAUCCAUAGGUUAAUGAGGCGAACCGGGGGAACUGAAACAUCUAAGUACCCCGAGGAAAAGAAAUCAACCGAGAUUCCCCCAGUAGCGGCGAGCGAACGGGGAGGAGCCCAGAGCCUGAAUCAGCAUGUGUGUUAGUGGAAGCGUCUGGAAAGGCGCGCGAUACAGGGUGACAGCCCCGUACACAAAAGCGCAUGUGCUGUGAGCUCGAUGAGUAGGGCGGGACACGUGGUAUCCUGUCUGAAUAUGGGGGGACCAUCCUCCAAGGCUAAAUACUCCUGACUGACCGAUAGUGAACCAGUACCGUGAGGGAAAGGCGAAAAGAACCCCGGCGAGGGGAGUGAAAAAGAACCUGAAACCGUGUACGUACAAGCAGUGGGAGCACAGGUUUACCUGUGUGACUGCGUACCUUUUGUAUAAUGGGUCAGCGACUUAUAUUCUGUAGCAAGGUUAACCGUAUAGGGGAGCCGGAGGGAAACCGAGUCUUAAUUGGGCGUUAAGUUGCAGGGUAUAGACCCGAAACCCGGUGAUCUAGCCAUGGGCAGGUUGAAGGUUGGGUAACACUAACUGGAGGACCGAACCGACUAAUGUUGAAAAAUUAGCGGAUGACCUGUGGCUGGGGGUGAAAGGCCAAUCAAACCGGGAGAUAGCUGGUUCUCCCCGAAAGCUAUUUAGGUAGCGCCUCGUGAAUUCAUCUCCGGGGGUAGAGCACUGUUUCGGCUAGGGGGCCAUCCCGGCUUACCAACCCGAUGCAAACUGCGAAUACCGGAGAAUGUUAUCACGGGAGACACACGGCGGGUGCUAACGUCCGUCGUGAAGAGGGAAACAACCCAGACCGCCAGCUAAGGUCCCAAAGUCAUGGUUAAGUGGGAAACGAUGUGGGAAGGCCCAGACAGCCAGGAUGUUGGCUUAGAAGCAGCCAUCAUUUAAAGAAAGCGUAAUAGCUCACUGGUCGAGUCGGCCUGCGCGGAAGAUGUAACGGGGCUAAACCAUGCACCGAAGCUGCGGCAGCGAACGUAUCACCCAAGACAACUUUACGGAGUUGACGAUUGACGGAGCGAAGCGACGUCAAAGCGUUCAUUAAAGUCGAGUUGGCUUAGGGAUACGUUCGUUGGGUAGGGGAGCGUUCUGUAAGCCUGUGAAGGUGUGUCGUGAGGCAUGCUGGAGGUAUCAGAAGUGCGAAUGCUGACAUAAGUAACGAUAAAGCGGGUGAAAAGCCCGCUCGCCGGAAGACCAAGGGUUCCUGUCCAACGUUAAUCGGGGCAGGGUGAGUCGACCCCUAAGGCGAGGCCGAAAGGCGUAGUCGAUGGGAAACGGGUUAAUAUUCCCGUACUUGGUGUUACUGCGAAGGGGGGACGGAGAAGGCUAUGUUGGCCGGGCGACGGUUGUCCCGGUUUAAGCGUGUAGGUGUGUGUUCCAGGUAAAUCCGGUUCACUUUAACACUGAGGCGUGACGACGAGGCACUACGGUGCUGAAGCAACAAAUGCCCUGCUUCCAGGAAAAGCCUCUAAGCAUCAGGUAACAUCAAAUCGUACCCCAAACCGACACAGGUGGUCAGGUAGAGAAUACCAAGGCGCUUGAGAGAACUCGGGUGAAGGAACUAGGCAAAAUGGUGCCGUAACUUCGGGAGAAGGCACGCUGACACGUAGGUGAAGUGAUUUACUCAUGGAGCUGAAGUCAGUCGAAGAUACCAGCUGGCUGCAACUGUUUAUUAAAAACACAGCACUGUGCAAACACGAAAGUGGACGUAUACGGUGUGACGCCUGCCCGGUGCCGGAA
rnacentral:rRNA from 1 species